rnacentral:rRNA from 1 species
GGUUAAGCGACUAAGCGUACACGGUGGAUGCCCUGGCAGUCAGAGGCGAUGAAGGGCGUGCUAAUCUGCGAUAAGCGCCGGUAAGGUGAUAUGAACCGUUAUAACCGGCGAUACCCGAAUGGGGAAACCCAGUGUGACUCGUCACACUAUCAUUAACUGAAUCCAUAGGUUAAUGAGGCGAACCGGGGGAACUGAAACAUCUAAGUACCCCGAGGAAAAGAAAUCAACCGAGAUUCCCCCAGUAGCGGCGAGCGAACGGGGAGGAGCCCAGAGCCUGAAUCAGCAUGUGUGUUAGUGGAAGCGUCUGGAAAGGCGCGCGAUACAGGGUGACAGCCC